rnacentral:sRNA from 1 species
AAACGCCGUUCUUGUUCAGUCCAUUAGC